rnacentral:rRNA from 1 species
GAUGAACGCUAGCGACAGGCCUAACACAUGCAAGUCGAGGGGUAACAUUACAGCUUGCUGUAGAUGACGACCGGCGUACGGGUGCGUAACGCGUAUGAAACCUACCUUAUACAGGGAGAUAGCCCGGAGAAAUUCGGAUUAAUAUCGCAUACAAUAUUUUAGUGGCAUCAUUAAGAUAUAAAAGCUACGGCGGUAUAAGAUGGUCAUGCGUGACAUUAGCUAGUUGGUGAGUUAACAGCUCACCAAGGCUACGAUGUCUAGGGGUUCUGAGAGGAAGGUCCCCCACACUGGUACUGAGACACGGACCAGACUCCUACGGGAGGCAGCAGUGAGGAAUAUUGGUCAAUGGACGCAAGUCUGAACCAGCCAUGUCGCGUGAAGGAAGACUGCCCUAUGGGUUGUAAACUUCUUUUAUAUGGGAAGAACGUUACCUACGUGUAGGUAUUUGCCGGUACCAUAUGAAUAAGCAUCGGCUAACUCCG